GUGGGGAAUAUUGGACAAUGGGCGCAAGCCUGAUCCAGCAAUGCCGCGUGAGUGAAGAAGGCCUUAGGGUUGUAAAGCUCUUUCGGCGGGGACGAUGAUGACGGUACCCGCAGAAGAAGCCCCGGCUAACUCCGUGCCAGCAGCCGCGGUAAUACGGAGGGGGCUAGCGUUGUUCGGAAUUACUGGGCGUAAAGGGCGCGUAGGCGGUGCGAUCAGUCAGGCGUGAAAGGCCCGGGCUCAACCCGGGGACUGCGCUUGAUACUGUUGCGCUGUGAGUCCGGGAGAGGAUGGCGGAAUUCCCAGUGUAGAGGUGAAAUUCGUAGAUAUUGGGAAGAACACCGGUGGCGAAGGCGGCCAUCUGGACCGGCACUGACGCUGAGGCGCGAAAGCGUGGGGAGCAAACAGGAUUAGAAACCCGUGUAGUCC
rnacentral:rRNA from 1 species